rnacentral:rRNA from 1 species
CUAGCAAUAGGUAUGCUUAGGGAGGAGCUUGCGUCACAUUAGUUAGUUGGUGGGGUAAAGGCCUACCAAGACUAUGAUGUGUAGCCGGGCUGAGAGGUUGAACGGCCACAUUGGGACUGAGACACGGCCCAAACUCCUACGGGAGGCAGCAGUAGGGAAUUUUCGGCAAUGGAGGAAACUCUGACCGAGCAACGCCGCGUGAACGAUGAAGUAUUUCGGUACGUAAAGUUCUUUUAUUAGGGAAGAAUAAAUGAUGGAAAAAUCAUUCUGACGGUACCUAAUGAAUAAGCCCCGGCUAACUAUGUGCCAGCAGCCGCGGUAAUACAUAGGGGGCAAGCGUUAUCCGGAAUUAUUGGGCGUAAAGGGUGCGUAGGCGGUUAAAUAAGUUUAUGGUCUAAGUGCAAUGCUCAACAUUGUGAUGCUAUAAAAACUGUUUAGCUAGAGUAAGAUAGAGGCAAGUGGAAUUCCAUGUGUAGUGGUAAAAUGCGUAAAUAUAUGGAGGAACACCAGUAGCGAAGGCGGCUUGCUGGGUCUUUACUGACGCUGAGGCACGAAAGCGUGGGGAGCAAACAGGAUUAGAUACCCUGGUAGUCCACGCCGUAAACGAUGAGUACUAAACGUUGGGUAAAACCAGUGUUGAAGUUAACACAUUAAGUACUCCGCCUGAGUAGUACGUACGCAAGUAUGAAACUUAAAGGAAUUGACGGGACUCCGCACAAGCGGUGGAUCAUGUUGUUUAAUUCGAAGGUACCCGAAAAACCUCACCAGGUCUUGACAUGCUUCUGCAAAGCUGUAGAAACACAGUGGAGGUUAUCAGUUGCACAGGUGGUGCAUGGUUGUCGUCAGCUCGUGUCGUGAGAUGUUGGGUUAAGUCCCGCAACGAGCGCAACCCUUAUUGUUAGUUACCAGCACGUAAUGGUGGGGACUUUAGCAAGACUGCCAGUGAUGAAUUGGAGGAAGGUGGGGACGACGUCAAAUCAUCAUGCCCCUUAUGACCUGGGCUACAAACGUGAUACAAUGGCUGUUACAAAGGGUAGCUGAAGCGCAAGUUUUUGGCGAAUCUCAAAAAAACAGUCUCAGUUCGGAUUGAAGUCUGCAACUCGACUUCAUGAAGU